rnacentral:tRNA from 1 species
AGAAUUAGCUCAGUUGGCUAGAGCGUCCCGACAUCAGUCGGGAAGGUCGUCGGUUCGACUCCGAUAUUCUCCA